UCCUACGGGAGGCAGCAGUGGGGAAUUUUUCGCAAUGGGGGAAACCCUGACGAAGCAACGCCGCGUGGAGGAUGAAGGCCUUCGGGUCGUAAACUCCUGUCGACCGGGAAGAAUGCACCCGACCUAAUACGUCGAAGUGUUGACUGUACCGGUGGAGGAAGCCACGGCUAACUCUGUGCCAGCAGCCGCGGUAAUACAGAGGUGGCAAGCGUUGUUCGGAAUUACUGGGCGUAAAGGGCGCGUAGGCGGCCCGUCAAGUCCCGUGUGAAAUCCCCCGGCUCAACCGGGGAACGGCGCGGGAAACUAGCAGGCUUGAGUUCGGGAGAGGGAAGCGGAAUUCCGGGUGUAGCGGUGAAAUGCGCAGAUAUCCGGAGGAACACCGGUGGCGAAGGCGGCUUCCUGGACCGACACUGACGCUGAGGCGCGAAAGCUAGGGGAGCAAACGGGAUUAGAUACCCGAGUAGUCCC
rnacentral:rRNA from 1 species